ensembl:lncRNA
GGGAAAGCCAGGGUUUAUUCACUCACACUCCCAGGUCACACUCCAUCACUGUGGGAGUCAGAGUAGGAACUCAGGGUUUAUUCAGUCACACUCCCAGGUCACACUCCAUCACUGUGGGGAGUCAGAGCAGGAACUCAAGCAGGGCAGGAACUUGGAGGCAGGACCUCAAGACAGAAGCCAUGGAGUGCUGUUUGCUGGCUUGCUCCUCACAGCUUCUUCAGCCUGCUUUCUUACAGCAAACCCAGAGCACCACCCACAGUGAGGUCCUCUAGACUUCCCACUGGCCAGUCUGGUGGAGGCAUUUUCUCAGCUGAGGUCCCCUCUUCACAGAUGACUCUAAUUGUGUCAAGCUGACACAAUUAGCCACCCAUCACAGAGUCUGUGGGAGGAGACUGGCCUCCGUCUGGUCCCUGACUUGGGGAGGAGCAAAGGAAAGGGAAAGCCCAGCAGCAAGGUCAGACACAUGUUUUCAAACCAACCGAUUCAGGUGUGGUUCUGUGUGGGGAGUGUCAGAGAUACAGUACAGAGACCCAGGUGGUGGGGACACUUCAGAUCCUGGCCCAGCAGCUCAUUGAUUGUGAUGUGUUUGUAUUUCGAGACAGGGUUUCUCUGUGUAACUUUGGAGCCUGUCCUGGCACUCACUCUGGAGACCAGGCUGACCUUGAACUCAGAGAUCCACCUGCCUCUGCCUCCCGAGUGCUGGGAUUAAAGGUGUGCACCACCAACGCCCGGCCAUUGUUUGUGAUUUCAUUAAUUAGUCCUUCCCUUCUCUCCUACUGCCAAAUACUUAGCAAAUCCCCAGUCCAUGGUUUGCACGAGGACCAUGCUGCCUGCAAAACAAGGCAGUGUGAACAUCAGGACAGCAUCACUGGGAAGGCAGUGUGAACACCAUGACAGCCUCACUGGGAAGGCAGUGUGAACAUCAGGACAGCAUCACUGGGAAGGCAGUGUGAACGUCAGGACAGCCUCACUGGGAAGGCAGUGUGAACGUCAGGACAGCAUCACUGGGAAGGCAGUGUGAACAUCAGGACAGCAUCACUGGGAAGGCAGUGUGAACGUCAGGACAGCCUCACUGGGAAGGCAGUGUGAACGUCAGGACAGCAUCACUGGGAAGGCAGUGUGAACAUCAGGACAGCAUCACUGGGAAGGCAGUGUGAACACCAUGACAGCCUCACUGGGAAGGCAGUGUGAACGUCAGGACAGCCUCACUGGGAAGGCAGUGUGAACAUCAGGACAGCAUCACUGAGAACUCAAUGAGUUCACAGGGCAGUUGGGACCCCACAUAGAAACACCACCGGUGCUGCGAGAGGGGACAGGGCCAUCCGUUCAGAUGUCAUCGGGAGUUGCAGAGGCACUGAAGGCCUCUCUCCAGGGCCUGAUCCUCAAGGCAGCAGCCACGAUGCACCUGGAGAGAGAGUCAGGUCUGAGAGAUGCUGAACAGGGCAGGCUGUUCUAUCCAGGCUGACUGGCCGGCAUGAGAUGAGGGAGCAAACCAAGGGACACCGAGAGUGCUGAGGAAGACCCGGAACCUGGAAGAGCCCAAAGCUCUCUCCCUUCCCACACACACUGGUGGGUGGCUGUCUUCUGAGUUGAGACACACACAGGUUCACAUCAGAGUGGAUUGUAAUUCCAAUCAGCAGGGUAACUUUCAGUUGGG